AUACAGAAGAGGUACAUAAUGUUACAUAGCCAGAUACAGACAGAGGUACAUAAUGUUACAUAGCCAGAUACAGUAAGAGGUACAUAAUGUUACAUAGCCAGAUACAGAAGAGGUACAUAAUGUUACAUAGCCAGAUACAGUGUAAUUACAAUAGAGGUACAUAAUUUUACAUAGCCAGAUACAGUAGAGGUACAUAAUGUUACAUAGCCAGAUACA